CCCCUUGAACGCCCUGGCCCGCUUGCCUAUAUAUGCUUUGUCCGGUUCGCCGGACUAUGGACAUAAACGCGCUCGUAAUAAGCGGAUCGGACCCGGGGGCGGUACCCGGCGUCUCCACCAAAUACCCCUCUUCGAUCUUCGUUUGAGAUCGGCAAGAGAUUGGAUCAUGGGGACGAAAUAGGAUCGACGGACGUCUAAAGGGGUUUGCUUUGUCUCGGUGAGAUACCACCGUUAUCGGUUCACUUAAGCUAGUUGCAAACGACAACAAAGCUCCGAUGGCUCUCGCAGCGUAAGCUGUGCGAAAUAUCGAAAUCUAAGCCCUUUCGCCUAGCAGCGUAAGGCGGGGUUCGCAGGUACCUGGCAACAGAAACCUGCACU
rnacentral:tmRNA from 1 species